CUGUCAUAUUUGUCAUCCUGCUGAUUGCCUAAUGUAAAACACAGAAGGCCAGUGAAGUGUGAGAAAAGCAAGACAUCGUAGAGGACCAAAGACUGAGCACUGGGAAUAGGAAAUUACAAGUGGUGACCUACAGUAAAUAUGAAACAAAAGUGCAGAAACCCAGCUUCUUGCUGCCAGGGCACAGGCUGUUGACUGGAACAAAGCUUCAGAUUUCUCUGAGCUAUUAGGAAUUUACAGUGCUGUGGAUGCCAUGUCCUAAAAGUCCUGGAGGAAGAAUAUGGGCACUGCGAUUGCCAACUGAUUCAUGAGGAGCAGCUGCAAAGAAAAUGCCUCUUCCUGCCCUCCCAGAUGGAGGAAAACUGUCAUGCAAGGGCACCUACAAGGGAGGGUUGGACUUCAGCCUUCAAGCAGAUUUGUUUAAGACCCCAGAUGGGAAAAAACACUCCUCAAACAUCCUGAAUAUCCUGUUCAAAGGAAAGGCCGACCGUCCUCCCUGUGAGAAUUUUUCAUGGUAAUGUAGGGAAGAAAGACUCUGCUCUUCUAGACCAGGAGCUGGUGCCUGCAUCUGCUGUUUCAAAUGGCUGUGAGAUAAAGCUUUUCUGAGAGGGAAAGUUUCCUCCUGUUCCAAAGGUGGGGAGAGGACUAGGAAAAGGAGCUGCAAGGAGGAGCUGAAGAUGGAGAAUCCCAGGGAAUUCUCCUGGUCCAUAACACGGUCCUUCAGAAGUUGCCUUCCCUUUCCAGGAUUUCUGUGUAGUCUGCUCAAUAUUCAAUGGCAACAUACAGGAAGCUGGGACAGAGAUGGGACAGGAGACUUCAGUUUUGAAAUGUGACUGGAUUUUGUGCAUUCAAUUCAAUUUCGGUUGCAAACAAAAUGAAGAAGACUUAUGAAGAGGGUCUUAAUUUCUCUUUCUCAGGAGAGCCAUGUGAGUAAGAGGAAGGAGUACGUGUAUCUGUGUGAGAGAGAACAUAGUAACUGCUAUGGUAAGUGACGGGUGAAAGAGAUUUAUUCAUUGUUAAUUUGCCUUUCCUCUGUUUCAUUGCCCAUAUAACGUGCAGUUUAAAAAUAUACACGCGCUAAUUAGGAGACAUUUUCUGGAAGGGAGUCACAGCUGCAUGAUGUGAAAUUUCUGCAAUCAGUGAAAAAAUGUAAGGGGCUUGUUUACACAGUUCAGACAUCCAACUUCAGCUAUACUGCCACGAAUGGCUGAACUUGUGAUAUUCCUUUCUUCCUUCAUAGUUAAGUAUUUCUUGAAGAACUUGUAAUGCUUCCUGUAAUACUACUCAUUAGGCUGCUCUUGAAGUAUGGUUUGUGUACACAAAAGCUUGACCAUUUUUUGUUUGAAUAAAACAUGUUUUUACACA